UGGCAUUCUGAAACUCGAUCAAUGAUUGUUUAAGGUUCAUAUGAAAAUCAGAUUGUAAAAAAUAUGUAAUACGUAAUAAAAUAUGUACAUUUUAAUAAAUAUUUUCCCCCAAGACUUCUGGACCAAAACAACCACUGUUUCACAUAACUGCUGCACGUAAUGAAAUUUAUUAUCACAAAAAAUGGGCCGCUGAGGUUUUCUUUGGUUGCUAAAUCACCUCAGGUUUCUACAUUCAAUCGCCAGCAAGCACUUUUGCCCUCAACAGGCACAUUUCCUGUUUCCUGUUACUUCCUGGGCUUCACCGCCUGGCCCCUCCUACCCCGUCCAGUUCCUAAGUACCCUCCAUGGCUGGCAGUGGGCACUGCCACAGUUUGAACUGAGUACGGAGGCUUUGCCCGGAUGAGCCACCCAGCAGCCGCUAGGCCACUCAUUGUAUUUAUAGUGUAAAGCCGGGGCUCCCAUUUCCCAGACCUCAUUCCUCGAAAGCCACCGGUUCUGCUGGUAUUUUGUUUUCACACUGCAGGCCAGAAGGGAAAAAACAAAA